AGAUUGUAUUGAGGACAUUUCCUCAAAAGCUUCUUAAAGUGCUCCCAAGCCUCAUAAAGAUUUUCAUCUGUGGAUUGUGCGAAAGUCAUGAUGUCAUUCUUCAAUUU